rnacentral:rRNA from 6 species
UGACCUCGGAUCAGGUAGGAAUACCCGCUGAACU